rnacentral:rRNA from 1 species
AUGGCGUCGUCCAGAGCAGCAGCGAUCAUCAUGGUCGUGGCCUUGGCCUUCGCCGUCCUCGCCAGCCGUGAUACCCUCUUGAUGACCGGAGGGCCCUACAUCGACGUUCUCCUGGGCCGUCGCGACGGGCUCACCCCGGCAUCGGCGGACCUAGUCUUCACCAUACCAGCGCCCUCCUUCGACGUGCCCACCCUCAUCAGCUCCUUCGGCAACCGGAGCCUUGGCGUGGCGGACCUGGUGGCGCUCUCCGGCGCGCACACCUUUGGUGUCGCCCAUUGCCCCUCCUUCUCCGACCGCUUCACGCCGAUCAUCGACGCCCACCCGGCCAUCGGCCCCAUGUUCGCCAAGAUGUUAAAAGCCAAGUGCGCCAAGGACGUCCUGGAGGGCACCGUCACCCAGCCACUCGACGGGGCCACGCCAAAGGUGUUUGACAACGUCUACUAUAGCGACCUCAUCAACAGGCGUGGGCUGCUCAAGUCCGACCAGGGCCUCAUCGACCACCCAGACACCAAAGGCAUGGCCACGAGGUUCGCGCGCAACCAGUUAGUCUUCUUCGCGCAGUUUGCCAAGUCCAUGUUGAAGAUGAGCACUAUGGACGUGCUCACCGGCAGCCAGGGCGAGAUACGGCUGAACUGCGCCGUACCCAACGCACGUGCCGAGGGCAUCGAGACCGCUGGCAACGAGGGCCAUGCUUCCAACAUGUAA